CACUUUUCUCCGAUCAACACCCAUCGACCACCGCAUCACCACCUCUGUCUGCACCAUCCACCACCGUCUCCACCACACCACCACCUUCACCGGCGCCGUCGCAAAGCCACCGUCAACCACCCUGUGUCACCACCGAUCGUUUCCAUCCAGUUCCUGCACCACCUCUGACUUCUAACAUCAUACUUCUCCUUAUUCUGCUUCCCGGACCUCCGAUUCACUUCCUACGACAACCUCGAGCCACCACCCUCGAGACACCACAACCGUUCCGGUCAACACCACAACUCCGCCGCAUCUUUACACCAUCUCCGGGCCGACGACCCAUCUACCACCACUUCACAAUCAACUAGAGACACAUAAACCACAAGAAGGUCUUCGAAUCGGAGCAGUUGAGUAAAAGAAUUGGUGAUUGAAUUCAUUUUUAAGAGUUUGAUUUUUUUUUUGUUCCUGCAGUGUUUUCGAAGUAAGAGAGAGAGGAGAAUCGGGUGGCGGC
rnacentral:lncRNA from 1 species